rnacentral:rRNA from 1 species
AUGGCUAAACGGGAGAAAACCUUGGCCGUACGCCCCGUACCUGCACCGGUACCCGUACCCGAGGCUCUCCCGACGCCGUCGGCGACGCCGGUGUCGGCAACGGCGCCGACGUCCGCGAGGUCGGUCAGGUGGGGCGACCUCGAGGACGCGGCCGGCGGGCUGGAGCGGCCGCUGCUGCGGCAGCGCGGUUCCAACACCACGUCGCAGAUGGCCGUCGUCGGCACCAACGUCUGCCCUAUCGAGAGCCUCGACUACGAGAUCGUGGAGAACGACGUGUACAAGCAAGACUGGAGGUCGAGGGGGAGGAUCCAGAUCUUCCAGUACCAGGUCCUCAAAUGGCUCAUGGCGCUCCUCGUGGGAUCCUUCGUUGGCCUCGUCGGAUUCUUCAACAACAUCGCCGUCGAGAACAUCGCCGGCUACAAGCUGCUCCUGACCAGCAACCUCAUGCGGCAAAACAGGAACCUGGGAGCGUUCCUGCUAUACAUGGCCUGCAAUGCGGUUCUCGCGGGAUCCGCAGCUGCGAUUUGCGCCUACUUAGCUCCCGCGGCAGCCGGCUCCGGCAUACCGGAGGUGAAGGCCUAUCUGAACGGUGUCGACGCCCACUCCAUCCUAGCGCCCAGCACCCUCUUCGUGAAGAUUAUUGGCUCCAUAUUGGGGGUGUCUGCCGGUUUUAUGCUGGGCAAAGAAGGGCCUAUGGUGCACACUGGUGCCUGCGUUGCCGCCAUGCUCGCCCAAGGGGGGUCGCGCAAGUAUGGCCUCACGUGGAACUGGAUCAGGUACUUCAAGAACGACCUCGACCGUAGGGAUCUCAUCACCUGCGGUGCUGCGGCCGGCGUCACUGCAGCAUUCCGCGCCCCCGUAGGCGGCGUCCUCUUUGCGCUCGAGGAAGCAACGACUUGGUGGCGGAGUGCGCUUCUGUGGAGGACAUUCUCCACAACGGCAAUGUCGGCGAUAGUGCUGCGGUCGUUGAUAGAGUACUGCCGCAGCGGCAACUGCGGCCUGUUUGGCAAAGGGGGUCUGAUCAUGUUCGACGUCAGCUCGCGGGUGACGACUUACACUGCCACUGACAUCGCCGCGGUCAUACUGCUCGGCAUCCUCGGCGGGCUGCUCGGAGCUCUCUUCAACCACUUUGUCGACCAGAUCCUCCGCAGAUACGGCGUCAUCAACGAGAAGGGUGCGCCGUACAAGAUCCUCAUGACGGUGUUCAUCUCACUUGUCACCUCGUGCUGCUCCUUCGGCCUGUCGUCGCUGUCUCCCUGCGUCCCGUGCCCGCCCGAGCUCGCCCCCGGCAAGUGCCCGACCAUCGGCCGGAACGGCAACUACAAGAAGUUCUGGUGUCCGGCGGGGCACUACAACGCGCUGGCCUCUCUCUUCUUCAACACCAACGACGAUGCCAUCCGCAACCUCUUCAGCGGCGGCACGGACAGCGAGUUCGGGGUGUACACUCUGCUCACGUUCUUCAUCGGCGUGUACACCCUUGGCCUGAUCACCUACGGCGUGGCCGUGCCGUCGGGCCUCUUCAUCCCCGUCAUCCUCUCGGGUGCCUCCUUCGGCCGCCUCGUGGGCAAGAUCUUCGGCUCGGGCCUCGACACGGGCCUCUUUGCGAUCGUCGGCGCGGCCUCCUUCCUCGGCGGCACCAUGCGGAUGACGGUGUCGGUGUGCGUGAUCCUGCUGGAGCUCACCAACGAUCUCCUGCUGCUGCCGCUCAUCAUGCUGGUCCUGCUCGUCUCCAAGACGGUGGCGGACUGCUUCAACAAGGGCGUCUACGAGCAGAUCGUGCGCAUGAAGGGGCUCCCCUUCCUGGAGGUGCACGCCGACGCGUGCAUGCGAAGCCUGGUGGCCAGCGACGUGCUGUCCGGGCCGGUGAUCACCUUCUCCAGCGUGGAGCGCGUCGGCUCCGUGGUGAACACGCUGCGGCGCACGGGCCACAACGGGUUCCCAGUGAUCGAGGAGGAGCCGUUCGCGCCGGCGCCGGAGCUGUGCGGCCUGGUGCUGCGCUCCCACCUGAUCGUGCUGCUCAACGGCAGGACCUUCACGAGGGCCCCCGUCAAGACCGGCGCCGCCGAGGUGUUCCGCAAGCUCAAGCCCUUCGGCUUCGCCAAGGUGGGGUCGUCGGGGAAGGCGAUGGAGGUGGACGAGCUGAGGCUCACCGAGGAGGAGAUGGACAUGUACGUGGACCUCCACCCGAUCACCAACCGGUCGCCCUACACCGUCCUGGAGAACAUGUCGCUGGCCAAGGCCGCCGUGCUCUUCCGCGACCUCGGCCUCCGGCACAUGUGCGUCGUGCCCAGGACCCCCGGGAGACCGCCGGUGCUGGGGAUCCUGACGCGCCACGACUUCAUGCCGGAGUACAUCCGCGGGCUGUUCGAGAACGUCCUUCGCGAGUAG